rnacentral:rRNA from 1 species
AAUCAACGCUGGCGGCGUGCCUCAGACAUGCAAGUUGAACGAUUAAAGCUCUCUUCGGAGAGUGCAUAAAGUGGCGCACGGGUGAGUAACACGUAAGUAAUCUACCCUCGAGUGGGGAAUAACGUCCGGAAACGGACGCUAAUACCGCAUAACGCAGCGGCACCGCAAGGUGACAGUUGUUAAAGGAGAAAUCCGCUUGAGGAGGAGCUUGCGGCAGAUUAGCUUGNGGUAAGGUAACGGCUUACCAAGGCUACGAUCUGUAACCGGUCUAAGAGGACGGUCGGUCACACUGACACUGAAUAACGGGUCAGACUCCUACGGGAGGCAGCAGUCGGGAAUUUUGGGCAAUGGGGGAAACCCUGACCCAGCAACGCCGCGUGAAGGAUGAAGUAUUUCGGUAUGUAAACUUCGAAAGAAUAGGAAGAAUAAAUGACGGUACUAUUUAUAAGGUCCGGCUAACUACGUGCCAGCAGCCG